UUGCCAAUAGGACCGAAACCGAACAAGGAGCAGUAUCCAGUGUUCAAUGCUUUAGUCGAUCGAGUGAGAGAAGCAUUAAGCCUACCCGCAGACGAUUCAACAGACAAAACGGAUUCAAGUCGAUCGGAGCAAGAACCUACGCCUACUCCUCAAACAAGACCGCAGGAUCUUACUAAAAAGCUAUCUUCUGAAGGAACAAGGUCGCGGGGUGCUUCGCCCCGGAGGCUGGCACGCCAAGUGGCACAGACUGG